GAAACUGCGAAUGGCUCAUUAAAACAGUUAUAAUUUAUUUGAUAAUGUCCUUCAUAUGGAUAACCAUUUUGGGAAACUAUGGCUAAUACAUGCUUAAAGACCUUCGGGUUGUAUUUAUUACUUUUGGCCAAUCUUACAUUGUGAUGAGUCAUAAUAACUGAUCCAAGCGCACUUGUGUGCGCUAAAUCUUUCAACUAUCUGCCCUAUCACAUUGUUGGUAGUGUAUUGGACUACCACGUCCAUUACCGGUAACCGAGAAUUACGGUUCGAUUCCGGAUAUGGAGCCUGAGACACGGCUACCACAGCUACUGUACGCAGCACGUGCGUAAAUUACCCAAUCCAAAAUCUGGAACGUAGUUACAUGAAAUCCGUUGCAUGGGGUUCUACCCCAGACACUAACGAACACAUGUAAGUAUUGUGUGUCUAAUUGGAGGGCAAGUUGUGGUGCCACCAGCCGCGGCUAUUCCAACUCCCACAGUGUAUCUUACUGUUGCUGCAGUUAAAAAGCUCGUAGUUGAA
rnacentral:rRNA from 1 species